GGAUGUGAGGGCGAUCUGGCUGCGACAUCUGUCACCCCAUUGAUCGCCAGGGUUGAUUCGGCUGAUCUGGCUGGCUAGGCGGGUGUCCCCUUCCUCCCUCACCGCUCCAUGUGCGUCCCUCCCGAAGCUGCGCGCUCGGUCGAAGAGGACGACCUUCCCCGAAUAGAGGAGGACCGGUCUUCGGUAUACGAGUAGCUGCGCUCCCCUGCUAGAACCUCCAAACAAGCUCUCAAGGUCCAUUUGUAGGAGAACGUAGGGUAGUCAAGCUUCCAAGACUCCAGACACAUCCAAAUGAGGCGCUGCAUGUGGCAGUCUGCCUUUCUUU
ensembl:misc_RNA 7SK 7SK RNA